UCUAACUCCGUUUAUGGUGCAAGCUUUAGUUUGUACGCAAGACUGGCUGAGAAGGUCAACAGAUCCGGUCGACAUCAAGGAGAACUUGGAAGAAUUAGAAGUGCUAGAAAAAGAGUUGAUUGAAGAAUUUGGUGACAAGGUGAAGGGAAAGCGCAAGUUCAAUGGUGGUGUUGUUGCUUCUUCCAUGGCCAAGUCAAACAAGUGUGCAAGUCGACCAACAAAGUGACAUCCACGUCUACUCAUGGCUGAACUAAAAUGAUGUUGAAUGUAUGUUGUUUUAGUUAUCAUCUUUUGCUUUUAAUUUGUGACUCGAGACUUGAGAAUUGAGAACUGAGAGUGAGAGUGUGAGACCUUAAUGUUUGUUGUUUGCUGCUGAAUUGAAAGCAUGUACUAAACUUGAUUUGUUUCAUGUCAAGUACUAAGUGGUGAUGGUGUUUGCUGCUUGUCGACUCCAUGGGCUGAUCCGCUGAUGUUACUGGAUCUUCUUACUUUCUGGUGUCAAAUAUAAAUGAGUAUGCAUGCAUGGAUCUUGUUGCUGGUGAAGUGGUGAUUAUAUAUAGUGCUAAUUUUCUAUUUAAA